rnacentral:sRNA from 1 species
AGCGAGUGCUGUUUCCGCCGCAGGCCCGGGUUCGCUUGCCGCCGCUGGCACGCACUGUACAGCUGCGUCAGCUGCUCGCAGGACACGUCCAGCGGCUGGUGCAAGUCUGUCCCGCGUGGAGAAACAAGAUUUAACAAGGAGAAAAUAAUCCAAGG